CUGGACGGGGUCAAUGGGUGACCAGGAAGGCCCAUGGCCUAGGGUGGUGGCCUUCAUUGCACUUGGAAAGUGCACCACUCUAAGGUCUCCCCAAGUGGGAGAGCCUACGUCAUAAUUUGUGGUAGAGGGGGCCUGCGUUCGCGCGGCCCCUGUCAAUUGAGUUUGAAAAUGCUAAUAUUUGCGUGGUCUGUCUGAGGCUUCGGCCUCUGGAUGCUGCAUGUUUCUUUAACUAUCUUUUUUAAAUAAAGCAGUGAACUGAUGAACUGGUUAAGACGCGUAACUAUAAGCCCAUAGCUUUUCAGUGGAAGGCAAGCAAGAGUCAUGACUUACAACACGCCUUUUCAAAAACAGUGUCUCCUUAUUACUAUGAAAAAGUCUAAAAGAAGAGUGGAAGCUGCUGUUAACAAAGAGAGACGCGUGGGUUCUUCUUUUACUAUGUCUACACUUUCACGAUUCUUUCCUUCAAGUACAACCCUACCAGUAGGCCAUCUUUUUCAUUUUACAUUUUUAUUCAAACACACAACAAAAAAUUUUCAGCUCUCUCACUUUAAUUUAAUAUCAGAAAGAGCAUCCAAAAUUUUUAAGCUGAAAUUCAAAAUUUACCCUUCUUUUUAAUUUCGAAUUUUCAUAGAAAUUGUGCCUAACUAGAAAACACCUUUAAAAUUAGGUCUCCACCACAGAAUAGGAGCAAGUUAAGUGGCUGCUUUAUGGCGAUGUCACAUUGAUUGCAUCACAAUAUACACAAUUUUUCUGCAGAGCAGUAAAUGGGAGGAACACACAAAUAUUAUCACAACAAGAGUAUCAUUUAGAGCAAACAAAUGUACAGCAAGCAGAAGCAGUAUUAGACUCUCUAAUAUCUAUAGCUGUAUUUUGUGAAAAACAUCCAAGUUUGAACUCAUCGUUUCAUCAAUUAUGUGUAUUUCAACUUUGUGUUAUCAUUCACAAUCGAUUGAAAGACUGAUUACAGGUUUGAAUUAAUACACGUGUAUCAGCUAGAGCAGCAGAAGAGCUUGAAGUGGGAACUGUAGUACCACAUCGGUAAAAAAAGAGAAGAGGCUAUGAGGGGCUUACUAUAAAACAAGUUUUUGACAGCCUGAGAGUUCAUACCUUUCUCGGCCUUUUGGCUAAGAUCAAGUGUAGUAUCUGUUCUUAUCAGUUUAAUAUCUGAUACGUGGACCAUUGGUCCACACGAUAUUAAAUUAAUUUUUCUAGGGGAAGAGCCCACUGCAAUAGCUUGCUAUUGGGGUUCUCAAGCGUCGCCCUUGCGUUGCACUACUUCAAGGGCCAGGCGCACCCCAGCAAA